UGAGUUAAAAAAAAACGGUUCCAUAAAUUAUUUUGGGCUCCAGAUCGAGCAGCGGGUCUCCCGAUCCGAUCGGGAGGGGGAGGACGACGGCGGCAGGGCUCCGGGAGUCGAGGCACGUCAGGGAAGCGGCUGAGGUCGGCGCCUGAUCCGAUCAGGAGGAGGAGGACGGCGGCAGGGCUUCGGAUGUCGGGGAAGUGGCGGAGGUUGGCGCGAGGCGGAUCCUGUCGGGACCGAAUCCUGCAGAUCGAGGACGCGCGCCGGCACCGAGUAACUGUCGGUGGCGGCAGAAGGGGAGGAGCGACGAGGCGCGCGCCGCAGGAAGUCACGGGUGGGUGCGGCUAUGGGACGAGUCGCCCCUGAUCUGCCACCAGACCUCCAGAGCACCUGGGUUCUCUGCUUUGAAUUUCCUCGCUAGCUCCCAGUCCACCCCGACCUUCACGGGAUCAAUAUUUUGUGGCCCCUGCACUUAGGCGACCAUGGUGAGCGACCAUCCAACAAACCAGCAUGGCUACCUGCUCCUCCUCAUGACCACAUCUCCCUGCGCUGUACCGUGAUGGUCCGACUAGGUGCCGCCGGGCGUCAGCUUCCCCGCCUAGGCCUUGAAGUGGGAGACGGAGGACGGACGCGGGAGACGGAGGGAUCCGGGGUGGAGGCUCGAAGUCCUUGCAGGUGGAGGCGGAGCUCCAUGCCUGGCAGGUAGAGUUCCAAGGCCAUGGCGAGGCAGAUCAAUGCAUCGAUGUCGCUGCCCGCGCGGCGGCGGAUCCUAUCCAUGCCCCAGCCAUUGGUCAUGCUCCUGCUCGGCGAUCCUCUCCGUCGUCCAACCGUUGGUCCUGCUCCUGCUCUUCCGCAGGCCCCGGCCUGGUGGGAGGCCGCCAUACAGCACACACGGUAGGCUGGACGGGAGUACGAGCUCAUCUCCACCGCGCAUAGUGAGACUCUGUUCAUGUUGUACUGCUGGCCAUACAUCAUUUCCUCGACCAUCAAGCCCAGGUGAGAGAUAUUCACCUCAAAGAAAGCCCAGGCGAGAGAGACUCUUAUGCAGGGAGCUUGCUGUAGAUCCGUUUGUUUCUGUUUCUUAACCAACUGCGGAUUUUCCUGUCCAUUAGCUGAUAGUUGGGUACCUUUGAUUGAUUUGACAGUGGAAGAUAUAAUAAUUUCGCUGGCCUGGACUUGGAUGGACCGGUUAGUUUACUAUAGUAUUACUCUGUCAAGGGAUUUUGUUUGCAUAUGUUUAUAUAAUACUCCCUCCGUCCCAAAAUCCUUGUCUUAGAUUUGUCUAGAUACGGAUGGACCUAAUACUAAAACGUGACUUCAUACAUCCGUAUUUGGACAAAUUUAAGACAAGAAUUUUGGGACGGAGGGAGUACUUCACAAUGCUUUACUGCUAUAAUUCAACGCAAUUUAUUUACUGAAUUGUGUAUAAAACAGACGAAGAUGUUGAAUUCUCUUCCAUGUUUCCCAGACUGAAUUCGCAAUGGGAAAGGAGAUGAUUGCGGCACACAAUUUAAAUAUACCAAAAUAUCCUGAAAAAUAUAUUUGGUGUCUAGAAUUCUGUUUGUCUUUGGAUACAUUUUCACGAUUCACUAACUCCGGUAGUGAGUAAAAAUACAUAAAACUACGUGACAAUGUUUUGUAAAUUUUCGUGUCUGUCGUGCGUUCCGACGAUUCCACUAGCAGAGGCCCUCCCCUGCCCUACCGCAGACCACUGUAGUAGCGGUCUCCUUGGAGUCCUGAAGCUGCUCAAGGGCAUCGUCCUUGGUGUGCCUCCUCGAGGCUUGAUGCUUUCUACAGGAAAAAAUGCUUCCUUUUCUUGAGAUGAGGAAAAUUACUUCCCUUUCUACAGGAAAAGAUGGUUCUGUUAAAUAAAUUACUUCCCAAGCUAAAGGCUCGUGGCUCCGAAGUACUAAUAUUCUCUAAGAUGACCCAUCUUUUAGACAUCUUGGAAGAUUAGCAAAUGUACAGAGGGUAUCAGUAUUGCUAGAUUGAUUGGAAUACUGGUGGCAAUGAUCGUGAUCCUUUUAUUUAAGCUUUCAACAUGCCAAGGAGUGAAAGGUUCAUCUUCUUACUUUCAACUAGGGAAAGUGGUGGGAUCUUCUUUUAAUGCAAUAGGGAAUUAUCUUUUUUGUAUCAGGUAAAUAGUUCCUUUCUCACACUUUUUUCAGACCGAGAUCAUGUACUGCUGUUGUGUGGUGUUCUAUGCUCUGCUGUGUUCCUUUUUGCUUUUUUUUGGGCUUCUCAUUCUUCUUUGGCACCUGCGCUCUGCUUGGGGAAACUUUGUACAUGGCAAUACAUAGACUGGAAUUGAGAUUUGGAGCAAUUUUGUUCGUUUUCCUUUGUACUGAUGUUGCCAUUAUUUGUGUGAUGGAGCCGUUAUAUUGUACAAAGGGAAGAGAUAGUGAGAGAGAUUGGAUAGAAAUUACUAACUACUGUAUUUGUGUUGUAAUUGUUUGUUGUCAAAGCUUAUUGUUUAUUGGUUGUUGUUGCAGAUUGUUGUGAUGGAAACUAAAUUUUGAUUAUUUCAAAGUAAUGUCAGGUUGAAUAAUUUGAACUAGAUUACAAAUGUUCAUCUCGAUGACGAUGAGUCUGAAGACGAUUAACAUGAUCAUGCAAUUUUUAGUGACUAAAACAGGUGGGUGAGGUAUUUUUACUCCCGUUGCAACGCACGGGCAUUUGUGCUAGUUUAAUACUAAGAACAUAUUGUUUCAUAUACUUAAAGAAAAUUUGUGGCCAAAUGUCAUGACAUCUCCAAAUAUAAGACCUACAUAUAUUAUAUUUGUAUCAUUUUUUCUGUCUUGUUCUAUGAAAAAAAUGUUAGACCGGAACUCUUCUAGUAGUAAAAGAAUCCAAAUACAAAUAUAUGAUGUAUAUAUCCUGCAUAUAUCAUAAAGGAGUAUGCUGAGUGAGCUUUUACUAUAAGUGUUAUGUUAGUUUGGUAUACGAAGCUAGAGUGCAUUUGUAUACUAUAUGUUUAUCCAUUAGAAUAGUUUAGUACUCCCUCUGCAAAACGUUCUUAUAUUAUGGGACGGAGGGAGUAGCAUAUAUAUUGUCAAUGCACUUUUCAUAUCCUUAUUGAUUAUACACAUUGCAAAAUAAAAUGGAUGUUCAUCAGUUAUCUGAUUUAGUCUAAAGUGAAAAACAUAUCUGUGUCGUCUCUAACUCGCAGUAAGUAACUUUCCUUGAGUAAUUCAUCUUCCGGAAGUUUGCUACUUGAUUCCUCUAUUUUGUUCUCUAAUAAUGCGUGUAUAAUUUAGCAAUUAUUAGCAAUACACUUAUUAGCACACUACACUCCAAAAUAACACAAUUUUUUAAUAUGAAAUGAGCUUAUAUUUCAAGUUGUAGCAGAACAUAAAUAGAUAAAUGACACUGCACUCGGUAUAACAAAUAACAAAAGCGAUAGGUAAAAAAAUCAAGGACAUAUUCCCUUAGAAGAAAAGUCAAGGGCAUAUCACUGUAUAUCCAAGUAACAUGAAAAAUAUACCUUUAGCAAUAUUUUGUGCGACAUAGUUCAGUACCUUCAAGGAAACCUCAGUUAUUUCUACAUCAUCAACACUAAUCAGCACUUCGUGAGGAAGCAGUAAAUGAGCUAAAAGCAUAAGGCAGAUUUUUAGUAUGUCAAUGUGACCCUAGUUGCAGCCCUGAUAUUUAAAGAAUUAUGCAUGAAUUUGUAAUAAAAACACACUGAAACUAUGUUCUUUCUAUGGUCUUAUGGCAUAUCCAAGUUACUACAAUACACGGUUGUAUUUUUAACAAAAAAACAUGACAUGCUUAAAGUUGGUUUAUGUGAGUUAGAAUCAACAUUUCUUGUACAUAUCAAAAGGCUCGACACAUUAUAUUUACUAUUUUUUGGACCUCGAGUUUAUCAUGAAAGGCCACCCUAUAGUUUAUUUAGUUAGAAAUGUGCAUCUCUAAAUAUAAAGUAGGUAUAACGGUGCAAAGCAUUUACUUAAUAGACCAGAUGCUUUAACUGUAAAUAAGAUUAGGAAUGAAGAUGAAUAGAUCACCGUAUGCGUAGGAUACUCCCAUUUUUCGUGAGGACACCUAAUAGCAUUUUGUAACUAUAUAUACAAUAAGAGUGCUAAAAGUCUUACCUAAGCUAUUCCAAUACCUUUAUGUCGUUGUUUUGCAUCAUUUUGAUUGGCAUAGAUUUUUCAAUCCAAAUAUAGAGCAAAUAUUUGGAGGUAUAUAAAGUACUCAGGUGGUCUGCCCAAAUAAUACGUAUAUGAAUAAGUUCACAAUAACCUACCAUAGUGGAAGCCGGUGCGACCCGAAUGAGGAGACUUGAAAGAUGUAGUGGAAAAAGGAAAUUCUUGAAUAACAUGUACUAAGCUAUAGGAAUAUGCCAACUGCAUCACUAAAUGCAUAACAUGGGGACAUACCAAACUAUCUCAGAAAAACGACCAUUACCAUACUCAUCUCGUUCGAGGGCUACAUAUGUAUAAAAGUGAGUUUAAUAAUAUAUAAUAGAAUGACUUUUGUAUUCGGCAAGCAUAAUUUAUAAAAAAGAUUGGGACACUCAGUUUAGCAUCAACAUGUAGAGAUGCCAGAAUUAAAUGCGACAAUAGAUAUCCAAUUAUAGUGAUGUUGUGGCUGUCAUAUGCACAUAUGAGUAAUUUUAGAAGUACCUAACUUGAACCAUGAGACAUAUUAUGUAUAUAUAUUAGUCAAGUGAAUUCUCUGCUCACUAUCUCCUCUAAAAUACCUGUCACCUCACCAAGAUAUAAAUUAAACAUAUAAAUGUGACUGUAUCCAUAAGGCACGACAUUUGAGUUGUAUAGCUCAUACAAGGUUUUUCUAGGUUUUUAUGCAAUUUUAUUUUAAGGAGCAUAGCUCAUGUAAUUCUUCAUCAUCACACAGUGCUAAUGAUCUGUUCAUUUGUAUGAAAAUAUCUCAGGAUUCUCACAUGUAUCAUACAUGAUGUAGAAUUUGAUUCCAAUCGUGUCAUCCGUAUACAGACCCCAAGCGUCCGGUGUUACAAAAAACCGGCUUAAAAGACCACAGUUCGUAUUGUGUGCUAUUAUUCCGCCCAAAAAGUAUAGUGCACUAUCAGAGUUAUGUGGUCGGCUAGCUUAUAGCAAUGUUUUUCUGAGGGGUGAGGUAUAUAUAUGGUUCUAAUGCCAUGCAAGGAGCCAAACCAAAUAAGCUUCUUUGAAAUUAGUAUAUAAUAUAUAGUUCCUCCACAUUGUCUGGAACAUAGCUUGUAGUUGAAGUAUGGAAGACAAAAUGGGGUAUUAACUGUACUGAUACAACUCCAUUCUUUAAAUAAAAGAUAUUACUAAUAAAGAAGAUACUUGGAUCAUCUAUACACUUGAGGUGUUUCUCAUCUGUGGCAGUACUGGAAAACUAUAUAUUAUUUCAAAGUGCUAUUCAUAAUUAACCAUAAGCGAAGGGCAUUUUGAUGUGAAAUAGAAUUAUCUGAACCUUAAGAAUUGCACUACUCAGAUCAUGCUUUGCGAUGUAAUCGUGGUAUAAUAUCAUUAUAACUUAACAGGCUUCAGUCACAUCAUCAUGCAAGUAAGUACCCCCAAAACUGAAACCGAUUACCAUGUUUUUUAUUCUCCGGUUGAAACUAAAACUACACCAACUCGUCCAAUGCAGUUCCCCCAAACACUUCUAAUAUAUCCAAAUACCUUUACAUCACGUGCAUAUAUGCUACGGGAAUAAGAUUCCAAGAUAGGGGCACAUCAUGAUUUAUCACUAUAUUUUAUCAGAUAUGCACCAAGUAAUAGGGCACUUGUAACUGAAAAUGAAAUUACUUUUCUGCAUCCACAGUCGAGGUACCCCAUCUAAUUCGAGAGCAAUAGGCAAUUGAGCAUAUGUGGAUUAUAAUCAAAUCGCUUAUUUACAACAAAACAUGCACAUGCAAUUAGUUAACUAUCAGAACGUGUUUGACUGCUCGUGUUUUUGUGUACCAACUUGGAGCUUACCUCGGAGCAUGAAGGCGAUGGUGCUAAGAGUUGGGUCAUAAGGGCCCGUUCGGAAACACUCCGGCUCCCAGCUCCGCGGAGCGGAAGUGGAGGAGCGGAGCGGAGCGCAGUUCAUAUUUCCGGAGCUGCUAUUCUGUCACUCCGCGUUUCAGCGCUGAGCGGAGCGGAGUAGCCAGAGCGAUGCGUUGCCGAACAGGCACUAAAUCUCUAAGCUUGCUCCGCAACCAUCAUCCUGAGCAUGUGAUCGUCGAAACGUCUACACAUGGUAGCCUCAAGCAAAGAUUAUUCCUGUCGAACCAAUCGUCCACGGCCACCUGCUACAGUUGCGGCCCAAAGGAUCGACCCAUCAAUCGCCGGCUGUUCCGCAAGUUAGGUGACUCCAGCUAAUCGUCCAUACAUGGCAGGUUCCGGUAAGAUAAUUGGUAUGAACUCAAUCAUCAUCCGAUAGCACGACAACAUGCUGCUUCAGUUGUACUACCGAAGUUGCACCGGCGCCUGUGUCAAACCAUCCGAGUAUUCUCCGAGAUGAGGUCCACUCGUAUGUUGCUGGCUCUAUUACUUUCUGAACCGGCCGAUAUUGUAUGGAGACAACAGUAUACGGGGCCAUGCACGUAUAGAUGGAGCUUGGAUGGAUUUUGCCUUAUGCAUACUUGUUUCUAUGUAUGAGCCGAAUAGGACAUCUCGUGGUUAAUUCCACCUACUCAUUGCCGUAGCCACUACCUACACGGAGCUCCUGCUGCUUGGUCAGUGACGAUCUGAAAAGCAAGCACUGGAGGGCUGGCUGGUUGGUGGCGAUCUGAAAAGCAGGCGAUGGAGGCGGCAGCAGCAAGGAAGCAAAGGACUUUCUUCACGAUACCUAAUAAGGCUCUCAUCGUCCUGCGGAAAAUUAACUGUCUUUUAUGAUUUGCAAAAUAAAAUUGUACUGUCUUUUAUGAUUUGCGGAAAACACGCACAUGCAAUUUGGA